rnacentral:rRNA from 1 species
UCCUGGCUUAGGAUGAACGCUAGCGGCAGGCUUAACACAUGCAAGGUCGAGGGGCAUCGGGAGUAGCAAUACUGCCGGCGACCGGCGCAAGGGUGCGUAACGCGUGAGCAACAUGCCCGUAUCAGGGGGAUAAUCCAUGGAAACGUGGUCUAAUACCCCAUAGUAAUUAUGUAAGGCAUCUUAUAUAAUUUAAAGCUUUGGUGGAUACGGAUUGGCUCGCGUGACAUUAGCUGGAUGGUAAGGUAACGGCUUACCAUGGCUACGAUGUCUAGGGGUUCUGAGAGGAAGGUCCCCCACACUGGAACUGAGACACGGUCCAGACUCCUACGGGAGGCAGCAGUGAGGAAUAUUGGACAAUGGAUGGAAAUCUGAUCCAGCCAUGCCGCGUGCCAGGAAGACGGCCCUAUGGGUUGUAAACUGCUUUUGUAUGGGAGCAAUAAGGGCUACGUGUAGUCCGAUGAGAGUACCAUACGAAUAAGCACCGGCUAACUCCGUGCCAGCCGCCGC